GCAUUUGGUGGGUGCUUGCGGUUCAAGCUUCAACGGCCAAUGCGUGCUUCAGUUUCAACAUCGCAAUGAGAUCUUCUCACGGUUUGGGGGGUGGAAAAAAAAUCAACUAACUUUACAUAGGGAGAGGGAAGCCCAUCCCGCCGCGCCGCCAGAAGAAUUAAGCCCGCAAGGCCAUAUAAUCUGAUUUUACGGCAGGCUGAGCAUCUUCUGAAAAGCCCAGGAGCCAAUAGGCAAACGGCGGAGCCAGAGACUCGGUCCUCAAAUAUGUGCGACUCUCGGGGGCCGAAGCGAAGAGACGCGAGCAGGUUGAACAGGCUAAGCCGCUCCGCCGAAGGCUGCGAGCGAGUGGAUUUUCCCCAAGGAAUGGAAACGGGAGACAGAUCGCGAGGUGGCCCCAUCCUCCCCCAGUAGGGGACCAGCAGGGGGAAAUAAAAGUGCCGGGUGAUUCGCCCAGCGGGUGACUCCCAACUUGUGGAAGGCGCUGCCCAGCGCAGGAGGGGGCCCACAAUACAGAGGUCCGAGGAAACCAAGGGAGAGCGAGAGACGUUCCCAGCGACCCAGCGGGAGAAAAGAGGCAUCUGUUGCGGCUCCCGCGAGGGAAGCGGGCGGAGCGGGGUAGAAUUGUGUGAAGCGGCGGCGGGACUGGAGAGAAGCGGGGUUCUGGGGCUCCAAAAGUAAAGGCAGAAGGCAGGUAAAUCGCACGGGACAACACGGAAACGGUGUCCGUGUGGGUGGCAGGGAGAAAGAGCGACCCGAGAGUCCAUGGCGCGCAUACUCCCUUACCUGGCCGAGUCUCCGCUCGCUUAAGCCGGGACAGAAACAGCCGAGCAAAUCCUCUUUCCCGAGUCCAGCCCCUCCGGCGGCGGCGGCGGCGGCUGUGCGGCUUCUUUCCGCCUUCUCUCGGCGCUGGCAGAACUACUGCUGCCUCCCGCGGCGCAAGGUCACCCGCUCCCCUCCAGUGGGCGAGCUGGCCCCUCGGUGUCGUCGUGCAGCAUUCCGCUUCCCUCUUCUGGCUCCGGGUUUCGUAAAGCGCCCCUCACGGCCGCGGCCCCCCGCGAGGGUUGCAGCAAGUUGCUGGCUCGCUCGCUCGCUCGCGCCUGCCUUCCCUCUCGGCGGACGCACUAGGAGCCUCGGCUGGCACGGCGCGCGCGCGCACACAUACCUCUCCCAGCUGAGCUCCUGGCAGAAGAAAUGCGACGCUUCGCUUGGUCUCCGCAACCUGCAGCCUCGCCUCAGCGCACCGGCCCGGAGCGCCCGGCUCGCGCUCCUCCCAUUGGCCAGCCCCGCCUCCCCAGCCCCGGGCUCCGCCCCGCCCCCCGCUAUGCCAGGUAUGGGCAGAAGUACAACAGAGUAGCGGGGGAGAGCAGGAAGCGCCGUUGGCUCCCCUUCCGCUGCCAACCAGCAGAUUCGCAAAGUUUGGAGGAAGACGAGCUUGCGUUUCUUUUUGAAAUCGAUAUCCGUGGCAGAAGGCGGGCUUUGGAAUCGUUCCCUAGCUCUAGGAGAGCUUUCCCCUGAGGCCAAUCACGUUGCAUCCAGAGCAUUGCCAAGUUUUCCUGGGUCUUUCCCCAUAGCUUUUAGGUAAACAAACACCUGAUCAAAGCCAGCGCUUACCUCUUCCAAGGCCACUUCGUUGGGAGUUUGGGACUCUUAAUUACCUGGUGACAAAUGAGGCUACCUCUCGCACCAGGAAUCCUGGCUCUACAGCACCGGCAGAUCCACUUGGUAGGUUGAAUCAGGAAUCUGCACUUCCUUGUUCGAAGGUUUUGAAGUUAUUUUCAUAAGUGACUCAGCAGAAAGAAUAUAACAGAAGUAGGGAGCUUUCCAUGGGCCUAAUUGGCAGGAGUCCUAUUUCGGUCUGGAGGGGCUGUGCUCCCCAAGCCACAACCACCCAUCCCAUGCCUGGUGUCAUACAUGGUCGGGCAUGGGGCAGGUAAACACACCGUGGCAAAAGUGUUGUUAUUCGGUGACAUAUAAACUUUGCAUGUGCAAGCUCCACUGAGAUUCAUUCCAAAAAAAUCUUGGUUGGAUGUUCCACUGAAAUUAGUGGGACUUUAUACUUCCCAUAAUGUAUGUUUACAGUUGGGAUAUUAAUGUUAUAGUCUUAGCUUUGUCUCUAUCUCAGACUGAAUUACCUAAUCCAGUUCCACCCCAUACUCCUGCAAUAAGUCAUGGCAAAUAUUUGCCCUUGCAUUAAUCAGAGCUGGAUCAAAUCCAUUUCUCAUUCUUCCUCCUCUUAUUGCUAGAAACUGCAAUGCAUUCCAGGAACUCUAGGGUAGUACAUUUAACCUAGUUUAACAAAACAAGGGCAAAUUUACAUUUGUUUAGUAAAAAGAGACAAUGACUUGUUGAAUGGCAUAGGUCAGCAUAGCCAUAGUACUCUAUAUUACUAGCUACAUAAUUAGCUGCUAACACUUGCAUAUGAAGUCACCAUCUUAUGUGAUGAUAAUAACAAGAGGCAGGGUUGCAUAUAUGUUGCAGUUGUUUAAUGCAGCCUUCCCUUCAGAUGUUUUUGGACUCCCAACUCUCUUCACCCUGACUAUUGGCCCUGUCAGCUGGGGCCCAGUUAUGUGGGCUUUCC